rnacentral:rRNA from 1 species
UACGAAGGGGGCUAGCGUUGUUCGGAAUCACUGGGCUUAAAGGGUGCGUAGGCGGGCUGCCAAGUUUGGGGUGAAAUCCUCCGGCUCAACCGGGGAAGUGCCUCGAAUACUGGCGGUCUGGAGGGAGGUAGGGGCGUGCGGAACUAACGGUGGAGCGGUGAAAUGCGUUGAUAUCGUUAGGAACUCCGGUGGCGAAGGCGGCACGCUAGACCUCUUCUGACGCUGAGGCACGAAAGCCAGGGGAGCGAACGGG